AACGAACGCUGGCGGCAUGCCUAACACAUGCAAGUCGAACGAGACCUUCGGGUCUAGUGGCGCACGGGUGCGUAACGCGUGGGAACCUGCCCUUAGGUUCGGAAUAACUCCCCGAAAGGGGGGCUAAUACCGGAUAAUGUCUUCGGACCAAAGAUUUAUCGCCUUUGGGUGGGCCGCGUUGGAUUAGCUAGUUGGUAGGUUAAAAGCCUACCAAGGCGACGAUUCAUAGCUGGUCUGAGAGGAUGAUCAGCCACACUGGGACUGAGACACGGCCCAGACUCCUACGGGAGGCAGCAGGGGGGAAUAUUGGACAAUGGGCGAAAGCCUGAUCCAGCAAUGCCGCGUGAGUGAUGAAGGCCUUAGGGUUGUAAAGCUCUUUUACCCGGGAUGAUAAUGACAGUACCGGGAGAAUAAGCUCCGGCAAACUCCGU
rnacentral:rRNA from 1 species